UACGUAGGGUGCAAGCGUUAAUCGGAAUUACUGGGCGUAAAGCGUGCGCAGGCGGUUGUGCAAGACAGAUGUGAAAUCCCCGGGCUCAACCUGGGAACUGCAUUUGUGACUGUACGGCUAGAGUGCGGCAGAGGGGGAUGGAAUUCCGCGUGUAGCAGUGAAAUGCGUAGAUAUGCGGAGGAACACCGAUGGCGAAGGCAAUCCCCUGGGCCUGCACUGACGCUCAUGCACGAAAGCGUGGGGAGCAAACAGG
rnacentral:rRNA from 1 species